UAUUACAUAGCGGAAGUCUUACAAAAAUAAAUGAUAGCAAUAAAGCGAACUAAAUAUUAUUCUUUGGCGCCAUCAAGCUGAUUGGGAGACGCCACCUAGAUAAGCUCGUACUCUUCGUUGUAAGGCUCCUCCUGGACCACUUGUUCUUCUCCUGUGGGGGGUAUAUAUCGCAAGGGUGAGCUCAUAAAAGAUCAUAGCUCAACAAGUUGUGGGGAAUAAUGUGCAUGAACUCACCAAAGGUGGGAGCUCAUGUGAACUGUAAGGCUGAUCAACAAAUGAGGGUUAAAGCUGAGCAUUGCUUUUAAUAAGUUGGUCAAGUUUUAUUAGCAAUUAUUAAAUGUAAGUAGAUACCAGACAAGAGUAAUAAUAGAUCAAAAUUAAUAAUAAACCACAAUGCGAUGCAAAUGACAUAUUGAAUUUAAUUCCAUAAAUUAAUCAUGCAAGGGUCUUGAGCUGCUCAUGACCGCGAGCACGACAAGUACCAGUUUUAUACUCUGCAGAGGUUGUACCCUGUACCCACAAGUCGUGUAUCCUGUCUAGCCUGGGUUUGCAAGGCCAUUAGACACUGCCGAGGUGAAUGGCUAGGGAUCCACUACGAGGCCUUUACAAAGUUCCACUAGCUUUAGAAAACCCGCUACAGUUUCUAGGAAGAGCAAUGCAGUAAUCCCCCGUCUGACAGCCAUCACAGCAAAAUCAACCCAAAAACCUCCCUACAUGCCUAAUCCCCUACCGUCCUUGCCCCUUUCGGGUAAGGUAGUCCUCCACUAGCUUUCCUAGUUAGUCAGUCAAGGGUGUUCCAUUCCACCCUUGUGGUGGCACGUGUUUCUCAAGUUAAGCUCGAUGUUCCAAUUAACAUAAUUGUCUUAUCAUGAACAGAAAUAGAACAAUAAUAAAGAAUGAUCAUGUGUAAUAGUUAUCUCAACACCCAAAACCAUAUAUAGCAAUAGCAAAGACUACCCAAAAGUUCAGGGGUAAACAAGGUGCAAAGAUAACCAGACUAGGGUGGCCUAUUGGGUCCCAUCAAAAUUAAGCCUAUGCAUGAUAAGAUGAUUAUAGAGAACAUUAUUGGGUAAAUAAAAGUGGUCAAGGGCACAACUUGCCUUCAAUGAGCUCCUGCUCAGCAACUUCUACCUGCUAAACACCUAGAUCCUCGGCCACUGACUCGUCUACUCGCCACAAUACAAACAAACAUGGUGCAAGGGAUAAAUUAACAUCACACCAAACAUGAAUACAGAAUACAUAAUAAUAAUCUACGCAUCGUAACGAUAUCGUAGGAACAAGAAUCACUAAAUUCGGAGUUACGAAUUUUAAGUUAUGAUUUUCCGAAGUCCUUAUGUGUUUGGUACAAAAAUAAUUAAGGGAUCAAUUUUAAUACAGGUUUCAUGCUAAAACAGAGACACUAUGCGAUAAACAAUAUUAAUACCAAAUUAUAGAAAUUGGAAUGGGUAAAAAGAAGUUAAAAUAAAUUUUCUAUAAUUUAAACAAGUUUCAGCAAUUAUUUUUACAUUAAAAAUCAUUUUCGAAAUGAAUUAUCUGGUUUUCCCACUUCUCUGGACUGCGCGCGCAAUUAAACCAAAGGCCAGGGUUUCUACGCAAGAAUUCCAAGACUCAUGAUCCCUCGGCAAUGGACCGCAGGUUAUUUUUAGUAAAUCACAGGGGCUUUUACGCAAUUGUACCGCGACGAAAGGGUAUUGGCCGCCCUGGGUCGUUCGAUCAAAGAUGAUCGAACCAGAUUAGAAGCGCGCACGUUAUACUCUCGCCAUUUCCCCCGAUCGCUAGAUCUCGCAUCAACGGUAGAGAGGCGGCCUCGCUCUAACCGGACCAGAACCGCACAUCACCGAUUCAACGCCUCCGAUCAAAUCUCGCGAAAGGGUAUCGUUACGAUCUAAUCUUAACUGUGCAAGGCGCAUUCGACAGCCAGGACAACAGCACCAAUACCCGCCAUGGCCGGGGCGGCGGUGAUGCACACCGAACGCGUGCACUAGGCUACUAUCACGCGAUUAACCGAAAGAUUAUGGAGCUCUGGGUUCGGCGAGUCUUCUUAGGGAAACAUACCGGGAUUUGGGGCGGUGACGAGUCCAAGCGACGAGGAACCACAGAUUCGGGUCCGAGCCCCACUCCGGCGAGAAAUUCAGCCAACCUCCCUGGCUUUCCCGGCCAUAAUCCGCCACAGUCACGCUCCACGUAACCCGGCGCGUCGCCAAGUCUCCUUGUCGAUCCCGAAACGACGGCGAAGGAGCGAGUCUACAGCGGUGGCGGCACAACCCGGUCCUGCUCACACCGGUGGCGUCUGGUGAGGAAUUGGGUCACGUCAACAGGAGGAGGGGUGGUUAGGGUUUGGGUGCCGCACUUUAUGGCCGCCCGAGAGGAGGGUCGGUGCGCG
rnacentral:lncRNA from 1 species